AAUAAUAAUAAUAAUAAUAAAUCAUGUACAAAACUUUCCUCUGAAUAUCACUUAGAGUUUUGGAAUUAGAGAGGGAUUUGAAUUCUGAUUUUUCUUAAAUGUUGAAUAAAUAGGCUGAUUACUUACCUGCUCUAAUAUUACAUUUCCUCAUCAAUAAAAUGGAAGUGAUACAACACUUUUCUUAAUGUAGUCUUUUGAAGUGUAAAUACCAUCAUUUAUUUAACUCGUUCCCCGAUACACAAGAUUUUUUUGGUUGUGGUCCCUCUUUCCAUGACUUUUCUCACAAAUUAUGUUGUUACUUCCUGAAUUAUUUGAGACUACAUUUUCGUAUAGAACCUUCCAUCCUACCUUUCUAUUUCUUACAGCCAUUAAACUUAUAUAGUCUUUUUAAGGUGAUGGAGGUCAAAGAAAAUAAGGACAUUAUACUUGGUAAAUUUGGUAAAUAAGAAUGAACUGGUAGUGUUAAGGAGAAGAGGCUAUAGGUAGAUAGAUAAUAGCCCAGGAAAAUAAAAUGGUAAUUCCAUCUAUUCAAGCCAUGUAAGAAUAAUAUAGAUUCCUUUAUUUUUUUUAAAAAAAGGACAUAAAAGUUAUCUGGUUCCAGGAGUGUUCCAAUGUUUGGGUGUAAGCUGACUACCACAUCUCGAAGAUGCUGAGGAAUAGAUUUUUGCACUGAAUAGAAGUUUGAAUCUUUGAAAUCUUUUUCAUCUGAUGUCCCAUGAGUGAAAGCUCUACUCAAUUAUCUAAUAAGAUGUCAUUUUGUGAAUCAGAACUUCAGUUCAUUUUGUUUUCCAUAUUCCAUAUUUAUUCUCUUGAUUUCAUUCCAAACAGAAAAGCGGUGUUUCGAACAUAUUUUUUUAUUUUGCAUAGUCUUGAUGCUCUGGCAUCUGGAGAGGAUGCUCCUCUAACCCUAGGGAUAGUUAAUUCCUGGAAAUAGCACAUCACUCACCUAUAAGUACACCUUUCACAUGCAAACCAAACAACUCACAGCCCAUACUCUAAAUCAUCUUCUCCAUCUGGCUCUUACUCUCCAAGAGGCAAUAUUCCUCUGCCCUAAUCACCUGUGGGCCAGGCUGAGACAACUAGAGAGAGUCCCUACAUCCUGAGGCCAGACAAAAUUAAUCAGGCUAUCCAUCCUAACCUGCUUAUCCUGCCUUGUCUUGCCUUUCCCUAAGAUACCUCAGAAAACCUUCUGCCCUGCUCCUUCUGCCUCCUGACUGACGCUGGUGCUGUCCUGAGGCACAGAGUACUCUCUCCUCUUGGGAACUAGUAAUCAAAUAUUUAUGAAGCACUCUCUAAAUAUCAAGCGAAGUGCUAAGACCUGCAAAUAAAGUGUUCCAGGCAGAGAAGAGGACUCUAUCCUGCUUUCUGCAUUUGCUUUGCUAUGAACUGAAUUUUAUCUCCCACCUUCAAUUCAUAGGCCGAAGCUGUAAAGGCCAAAGUGACUGUAUUUGAAAAUAGGAUCUGGAGGAGCAUCAUGGCUAGCGUCUGGGCAUCGGAAUGACCACUUGGAGAGAGAAGAUCCAUUGAGCUAAAAAUUGUUUCUCUGUCAU
rnacentral:lncRNA from 1 species